rnacentral:rRNA from 1 species
AUUGAACGCUGGCGGAAUGCUUUACACAUGCAAGUCGAACGGUAGAGGGGGCAACCCCUUGAGAGUGGCGAACGGGUGAGUAAUAUAUCGGAACGUGCCCAGUCGUGGGGGAUAACGUAGCGAAAGUUACGCUAAUACCGCAUACGAUCUAUGGAUGAAAGCGGGGGAUCGCAAGACCUCGCGCGAUUGGAGCGGCCGAUAUCAGAUUAGGUAGUUGGUAGGGUAAAGGCCUACCAAGCCAACGAUCUGUAGCUGGUCUGAGAGGACGACCAGCCACACUGGAACUGAGACACGGUCCAGACUCCUACGGGAGGCAGCAGUGGGGAAUUUUGGACAAUGGGCGAAAGCCUGAUCCAGCCAUUCCGCGUGCAGGAUGAAGGCCCUCGGGUUGUAAACUGCUUUUGUACAGAACGAAAAGGUUUCUAUUAAUACUAGGAGCUCAUGACGGUACUGUAAGAAUAAGCACCGGCUAACUACGUG